rnacentral:rRNA from 1 species
GGUGAACGCUGGCGGCGUGCCUAACACAUGCAAGUCGAGCGGUGCAGUUUGAAGCUUCGGUGGAAAGCUGCAUAGCGGCGGACGGGUGAGGAAAACGUAGGAACGUGCCCCUUGGAGUUGGAUAGCCACGGGAAACUGUGGGUAAACCGACAUAGACUCGAGAGAGUAAAGGCCGAAAGGCGCCAAGGGAGCGGCCUGCGGCCCAUCAGGUAGUUGGUAGUGUAAAGGACUACCAAGCCGACGACGGGUAGCCGGUCUGAGAGGAUGGCCGGCCACAAGGGCACUGAGAGACGGGCCCUACUCCUACGGGAGGCAGCAGUGGGGGAUUUUGGACAAUGGGCGAAAGCCUGAUCCAGCGACGCCGCGUGGAGGACGAAGCCCUUCGGGUGUAAACUCCUUUUCUCAGGAAAAGGAUGAUGGUACCUGAGGAAUAAGCCCCGGCUAACUACGUG